rnacentral:tRNA from 3 species
GCCCUGGUGGUGAAAUCGGUAGACACAGCGGACUUAAAAUCCGCCGACGCCAAAACGUCGUGCCCGUUCGAGUCGGGUCCGGGGCACCA